rnacentral:misc_RNA from 1 species
GAUGAAGAACGUAGCGAAAUGCGAUAAGUAAUGUGAAUUGCAGAAUUCCGUGAAUCAUCGAAUCUUUGAACGCACAUUGCGCCCCCUGGCAUUCCGGGGGGCAUGCCUGUCCGAGCGUCAUUUCUGCCCUCAAGCACGGCUUGUGUGUUGGGUGUGGUCCCCCCGGGGACCUGCCCGAAAGGCAGCGGCGACGUCCGUCUGGUCCUCGAGCGUAUGGGGCUUUGUCACUCGCUCGGGAAGGACCUGCGGGGGUUGGUCACCACCAUAUUUUACCACGGUUGACCUCGGAUCAGGUAGGAGUUACCCGCUGAACUUAAGCAUAUCAUAAGCGGAGGA